UACGUAGGGUGCGAGCGUUGUCCGGAAUUAUUGGGCGUAAAGAGCUCGUAGGCGGUGUGUCACGUCGGCCGUGAAAACCUGCAGCUUAACUGUGGGCGUGCGGUCGAUACGGGCAUCACUGGAGUUCGGCAGGGGAGACUGGAAUUCCUGGUGUAGCGGUGAAAUGCGCAGAUAGCAGGAGGAACACCGGUGGCGAAGGCGACUACCUGGCCUGUUCUUGACGCUGAGGCGCGAAAGCUAGGGGAGCAAACGGG
rnacentral:rRNA from 1 species